AUACGUAGGGGGCGAGCGUUGUCCGGAAUGAUUGGGCGUAAAGGGCGCGUAGGCGGCCCGGUAAGUCUGGAGUGAAAGUCCUGUUUUUAAGAUGGGAAUUGCUUUGGAUACUGUCGGGCUUGAGUGCAGGAGAGGUAAGUGGAAUUCCCAGUGUAGCGGUGAAAUGCGUAGAGAUUGGGAGGAACACCAGUGGCGAAGGCGACUUACUGGACUGUAACUGACGCUGAGGCGCGAAAGUGUGGGGAGCAAACAGGAUUAGAUACCCUGGUCGUCCACACUGUAAACGAUGAAUGCUAGGUGUAGGGGGUAUCGACCCCUUCUGUGCCGCAGUCAACACAAUAAGCAUUCCGCCUGGGGAGUACGGCCGCAAGGUUGAAACUCAAAUGAAUUGACGGGG
rnacentral:rRNA from 1 species